CAUGACUUUGAUCUGCAUCCUCAUCUGGACUCUCCUCUGCUGCUGCUUCACAGAGUCCAGAGGACAGAUCACAGUGACUCAGCCUGGAGCAGUGAGCUCUGCUGUGGGAGGAUCUGUCAGCAUCAAGUGUACGACCAGUCAGAAUGUUUUUGUUCAUAGCAACAAUCACCGUUUAGCCUGGUUCCAACAGAAAGAUGGAGGAGUUCCUAAACUGCUCAUUUACUAUGCUAGCACCCGAAUAUCAGGGAUUCCAGCUCGUUUUACAGGCAGUGGAUCAAACUCUGACUUCACUCUGACCAUCAGUGGAGUCCAGGCUGAAGAUGCAGCAGUUUAUUAUUGUGUAGGUCAGCACUAUAUCAACAGUCAUCAUUCGUUCACACAGUGA